rnacentral:rRNA from 1 species
AGUAACACGUGGGCAAUCUGCCCUGCACUUCGGGAUAAGCCUGGGAAACUGGGUCUAAUACCGGAUAGGACCUUUAGACGCAUGUCUUUUGGUGGAAAGCUUUUGCGGUGUGGGAUGGGCCCGCGGCCUAUCAGCUUGUUGGUGGGGUGAUGGCCUACCAAGGCGACGACGGGUAGCCGGCCUGAGAGGGUGUCCGGCCACACUGGGACUGAGAUACGGCCCAGACUCCUACGGGAGGCAGCAGUGGGGAAUAUUGCACAAUGGGCGCAAGCCUGAUGCAGCGACGCCGCGUGGGGGAUGACGGCCUUCGGGUUGUAAACCUCUUUCACCAUCGACGAAGGUCCGGGUUUUCUCGGAUUGACGGUAGGUGGAGAAGAAGCACCGGCCAACUACGUGCCAGCAGCCGCGGUAAUACGUAGGGUGCGAGCGUUGUCCGGAAUUACUGGGCGUAAAGAGCUCGUAGGUGGUUUGUCGCGUUGUUCGUGAAAUCUCACGGCUUAACUGUGAGCGUGCGGGCGAUACGGGCAGACUAGAGUACUGCAGGGGAGACUGGAAUUCCUGGUGUAGCGGUGGAAUGCGCAGAUAUCAGGAGGAACACCGGUGGCGAAGGCGGGUCUCUGGGCAGUAACUGACGCUGAGGAGCGAAAGCGUGGGGAGCGAACAGGAUUAGAUACCCUGGUAGUCCACGCCGUAAACGGUGGGUACUAGGUGUGGGUUUCCUUCCUUGGGAUCCGUGCCGUAGCUAACGCAUUAAGUACCCCGCCUGGGGAGUACGGCCGCAAGGCUAAAACUCAAAGGAAUUGACGGGGGCCCGCACAA